rnacentral:lncRNA from 1 species
GUGUAAUUUAUUAUGACUACUCCGGGAAUAGGAUUUCUGAGCUUCCUAGGUCACCGAGAACCACCCCAAUGAGUCCCUUGAGAAAUUUUUCUUUCCCUGUGGAGAAUAAUGUAUAAUCGACGUCUUAAUGAGCAAAGUAUUCUGGUAAUAAUGAAAUUUUAUUUAUUAUAGAUUUUUAUGCUAUUUUUUCUCUCCCCCAUAAGCAUUUUCUUGACAGAAGCAGAAAGAAAAUAUUUUUUUACAAAUGAUCAAGAUAUCUUGAGGAAUCAUGAUUAGUUUAUAUUCAUAUGAGUCCUUUUCACAGGAAAUGAGAAUUUUGUGAUAUAAUAGAAGCAGAAGUUAUGCAGAAUUUUCAAGAAUCGAAGUUGAUGAUUUUUUUUUGUUUAAGUGCAACAGGCACGAUAAAGUUAGGUCAGUUUUGAUUAGUUGCUCUCUAAUUUUCAUCUUAUUUUCUAUUGAAAAAUGAAAGGAGGAUCAUGCUAAUUGCAUUAUUUCGAAGUUCCGCCCAUCCAUUUGACAUCCCCAACUACAAUCACGAAAAAAUGGGUUAGAAAGUUGUGUGAACACACUCACUUGUACGUUUGGAGCUAAAUUCUACUUUUUAGAUUAUUUAUUUAUUUUAACAAAUUUUAAAUCAAAAAUUCUUUUUCCAAGCAUAUGAUGUCUUUAGUUAUCUUUUCUUCCAAUAGUAAUUAACAACCAAUUUCAGAUAAUUAAUUUGGAAUAUUUAAAUCUCAUUAUUUUUCUAGUUAAUUAGUCUUAAAACAAAAGGCCUUUGAUUAAUCUUCCCUCAGCCCAAGUUCAAUUAAGUCAAGGAAAAAAAAAUCAUAUAUCACGUAAGUAUUCAUCAAUUCAAUUUUUAGAGCGUAAGUUUAAAAUUCCAAAAGUCAGGUAUUAAUUCAAUAUUGUAGUUUUAAAUGAUAAUAUUAUAAAAUUAAAUUAAUCUACCCACCCCAAACCCCCAGACCCCUACCUCCACCUCGUGCUCUCGCUUGCCACUAUCCUCUCUUACAGCUGCUGACAUCCAUCCUUCCAGUUACCGACAUCCAAAUAAUUUCGUCGAAAAAAAUAUAGAAUCUAUAUAGAUCACCUGCAACUUCUUCAAC